GAGCACGUAGGUGGGUUUGUAAGUCAGACGUGAAAGCCUUCUGUUCAACGGAGGAAUUGCAUCUGAAACUACAAACCUUGAGUGUAGGAGGGGAGAAUGGAACUUCUGGUGGAGCGGUGAAAUGCGUAGAUAUCAGAAGGAACGCCGGCGGCAAAAGCGAUUCUCUGGCCUAUUACUGACACUCAGUGUGCGAAAGCUAGGGGAGCAAACGGGAUUAGAUACCCCGGUGGUCCUAGCCGUAAACGAUGGGCACUAAGUAGAGGGGU
rnacentral:rRNA from 1 species